rnacentral:rRNA from 1 species
AUGCACGCUGGCGGCGUGCCUAAUACAUGCAAGUCGAGCGAACGGACGAGAAGCUUGCUUCUCUGAUGUUAGCGGCGGACGGGUGAGUAACACGUGGAUAACCUACCUAUAAGACUGGGAUAACUUCGGGAAACCGGAUCUAAUACCGGAUGAUAUUUUGAACCGCAUGGUUCAAAAGUGAAAGACGGUCUUGCUGUCACUUAUAGAUGGAUCCGCGCUGCAUUAGCUAGUUGGUAAGGUAACGGCUUACCAAGGCAACGAUGCAUAGCCGACCUGAGAGGGUGAUCGGCCACACUGGAACUGAGACACGGUCCAGACUCCUACGGGAGGCAGCAGUAGGGAAUCUUCCGCAAUGGGCGAAAGCCUGACGGAGCAACGCCGCGUGAGUGAUGAAGGUCUUCGGAUCGUAAAACUCUGUUAUUAGGGAAGAACAUAUGUGUAAGUAACUGUGCACAUCUUGACGGUACCUAAUCAGAAAGCCACGGCUAACUACGUG